rnacentral:pre_miRNA from 1 species
GAUGUACUCCCUCCGUCCGAAAAUACUUGUCAUCAAAAUGGAUAAAAAAGGAUGUAUCUAGAACUAAAAUACAUCUAGUUCUAGAUACAUCCUUUUUUAUCCAUUUUGAUGACAAGUAUUUCCGGACGGAGGGAGUAGCAA